CUGGCUCAGGAUGAACGCUAGCGACAGGCCUAACACAUGCAAGUCGAGGGGUAACAUGAGAGCUUGCUCUUGAUGACGACCGGCGCACGGGUGAGUAACGCGUAUGCAACCUUCCUUUAACUGGAGAAUAGCCCCCGGAAACGGGGAUUAAUGCUCCAUGGCACUCUGAAUACGCCUGUAUUAAGAGUUAAAGUUCCGACGGUUAAAGAUGGGCAUGCGUGACAUUAGCUAGUUGGCGGGGUAACGGCCCACCAAGGCAACGAUGUCUAGGGGUUCUGAGAGGAAGGUCCCCCACACUGGUACUGAGACACGGACCAGACUCCUACGGGAGGCAGCAGUGAGGAAUAUUGGUCAAUGGACGCAAGUCUGAACCAGCCAUGUCGCGUGCAGGAUGACUGCCCUAUGGGUUGUAAACUGCUUUUAUACGGGAAGAAAGGUAUCUACGUGUAGAUAUUUGCCGGUACCGUACGAAUAAGCAUCGGCUAACUCCGUGCCAGCAGCCGCGGUAAUACGGAGGAUGCGAGCGUUAUCCGGAUUUAUUGGGUUUAAAGGGUGCGUAGGCGGAAUGGUAAGUCAGCGGUGAAAUACUGCAGCUCAACUGUAGAACUGCCGUUGAUACUGUCAUUCUUGAGUAUAGAUGAGGUAGGCGGAAUGAGUAGUGUAGCGGUGAAAUGCAUAGAUAUUACUCAGAACACCAAUUGCGAAGGCAGCUUACUAAACUAUAACUGACGCUGAAGCACGAAAGCGUGGGUAUCAAACAGGAUUAGAUACCCUGGUAGUCCACGCCGUAAACGAUGAUUACUGGUUGUUUGCGAUACACAGUAAGCGACUGAGCGAAAGCAUUAAGUAAUCCACCUGGGGAGUA
rnacentral:rRNA from 1 species